AGGGGUGAAAAGUUCUGAUCAGACUAGAACAAGUUGGAACAAAAACCUUAGAAUUUAAACACACGUUUAAAACAAGAAGCCAUGCUUUGAUAUGACAGACCAACACAAAGCAGUGCAUAACUGAGAAGUGGAAGAAAAGGAUCCAUCAGGUCUUCUGCAGCCUGUAUUUAGCUCCAUCCAUCAUCUCAUCAAGUCUGAUCAGCUUCCCUGACCCUGCUGAGGGAAGCAGGGCCACCAUCACGAUGUUGUACUGUGCAUCGAUAGUUUACGGCCACAAAGCGCAGGUGGACGCUAGUAAUUGGGUAACUUCUGAAGGUAAUUGGGUGCGCUGAUUUUAUUUAGGGAUAUGAGAGUCAGGGGGGCUGAAUACAAAUGCACAUUUUAACAAUUUUCAUUACUUUGUACUGGUCUGUCAGAAUCCCAACACAUUUGAAGUCUGUGAUUAUAAUGUCACAAAAUUUGUAUGCAUGGGUGUGAAUGUUUUUGCUAAGCACUGAGGCUUUGCAGCCAUACAUCAUCAGAAACAAACCCAGCAUUUACCUGAUGACACACCGUUUCUACACUCAACAAUGCUUGCAUUUUCAUUUUUUUCCACCCAACAAGCAAGUUUUCUAGGAAUGUCAGAGGAAACAUGAAACUAAGGGAGCAAGUGAGGAGUCUGGAGAAGGACAAAGAGCAACAACGGCGAAGGAUGAAACAAGAGCGCACGGCUGGGGAAAUUGAGUUAAGAUGAGACAUACUUGGAGAGAAACUGCACUGCGACCCAGACACCAGCGUACAUGAUGCCCUUGAUCAGCCAGGAGUCGACGUCCAGGUCGGCGAUGAAACCCACAAGCCAGAUGACGACGAAAGGUGUUCCCAGCAUCACUUUCUGUCUGAACUCCUGGACAGCGAAUCCAGACGUGAGAGGAAGGAACAGAAGCAUGACAACGACCCGAAGCACACAGCCA